AAACGGGGGAGGAAGGGGCGGCCCUAACGGUAGUGACGUCAUGAUUGGGGUG
rnacentral:rRNA from 1 species